UACGUAGGGUGCGAGCGUUGUCCGGAAUUAUUGGGCGUAAAGAGCUCGUAGGCGGUUUGUCGCGUCGACUGUGAAAACCUGGGGCUUAACUCUGGGCCUGCAGUCGAUACGGGCAGACUUGAGUUCGGUAGGGGAGACUGGAAUUUACGGUGUAGCGGUGAAAUGCGUAGAUAUCGUAAGGAAGACCAGUGGCGAAGGCGGGUCUCUGGACAGUUCCUGACGCUGAGGCACGAAGGCCAGGGGAGCAAACGGG
rnacentral:rRNA from 1 species